rnacentral:rRNA from 1 species
UACGGAGGGUGCUAGCGUUAUCCGGAAUCAUUGGGUUUAAAGGGUCCGCAGGCGGAUUUAUAAGUCAGUGGUGAAAUCCUAUCGCUUAACGAUAGAACUGCCAUUGAUACUGUAGGUCUUGAAUUCGGUCGAAGUGGGCGGAAUGUGUAGUGUAGCGGUGAAAUGCAUAGAUAUUACACAGAACACCGAUAGCGAAGGCAGCUCACUAGGCCUGGAUUGACGCUCAGGGACGAAAGCGUGGGGAUCAAACAGG